GCAGUAGCCGCGGUAAUACGAAGGGUGCAAGCGUUACUCGGAAUUACUGGGCGUAAAGCGUGCGUAGGUGGUGGUUUAAGUCCGUUGUGAAAGCCCUGGGCUCAACCUGGGAAUUGCAGUGGAUACUGGGUCACUAGAGUGUGGUAGAGGAUAGUGAAAUUUCCGGUGUAGCAGUGAAAUGCGUAGAGAUCGGAAGGAACAUCUGUGGCGAAGGCGACUAUCUGGGCCAACACUGACACUGAGGCACGAAAGCGUGGGGAGCAAACAGGAUUAGAUACCCCAGUAGUCCCUGUCUCUUAUAA
rnacentral:rRNA from 1 species